AAUUCAGGUGAUGAAAUUGGAUAAUAUCUCACGACGGUCGUCUGAGACAAUUUUGUGUCGUCCUUGAUGAGUGAUCCAAGCUUCUGAUGAUU